CCCCCCAAAAAAUUGAAAAAACUGAAAAAACCCAAACUGAAAACCGAAAAAAACCCAAAUAAAUUAUAUCGGUUUAGGUUUUGGUUUCACUCACUCUGCUUCAUUAUUAUUGUUAUGGUUUUUUACAGUAGCUAUCACUAAUCCAUGUCAACCAAUUCAAACAGCCAAAAAUGAAAUUGCAAAAACUAUACGCUGGUCUCUUGUUCCCUUAUACAGAUCACUCAUUAACUUGAAACCCCUUGUUUUGCACUAAGCUCGAUUCUCGUAGAGCACGUCACAUAUGUUUUAAUUUGGUGAAAAUUGAAAUCUUGAAAUUGCACAUGCGAAAUCGAACGUGCGAAAUUGCACGUACACAAUUGAACGUGCAUGAUAAUUUCACGCUUGUGAAUAUCAGAACGUUUACCGGUUUACAGAAUUUCAUACGUGCAAUUUUUUGGUCCCCGUAUUGUUUUUCUAUGGAUUGUGUGUUCAUGCUCAGUAUGUUAUAAUGUUUCUCUUUGUUAAACAUGUAAGGUUUUUUUUUGCUCUGGUGUAAUUUAUGGAAUUUAUUAAAAAAUAUUGAACUACAGAAAAAGUUGAGUAGAUAGGCUAUAGGUGCUUCAUUCUAUGUAUUAGUGAAAUUGAGAACUCAACAGCCCUUGAUAGCAAAAAUCAUAUAACUAGAUUCAGAUUUCCCGACAAACAGUGAUAGCCUAAGGAUGAGUAAUUACAGUUUUAUUUCAAUUUUUGCGUUCGUAUUGGCGUUUUAUGUUUCAACAGGAAACGCUGCUAUAAAAUGUUACCAUUGUCUCCAUGCUCCUGGCGAUCCAGAUCCAAACUGUGUAAAUGUGAAUGAGAAAACCAAGACACAGUCACCUUCCGGGAGGGGUUGGUUGACCUGGGACGGAUGCCUAGUCGUUAAGAAUAAGUUCAAGAGCAGCGGUUUUCUUACUGCACAACGAAAUGCGAUAAGAAUGGACUUCCGCGAGUCAAGAUCCAGUGUGUGUGAAAGUUUGCGAAUAACAACUGCAGCACUACAAGAAAAAUGCGAAGUUUGUUAUACAGAUUUCUGUAAUUCAAUGUGAGGUGGCUCGGGAGAGCCCUCAUCUCUAAACACGGCAUCGUCUCCAACCGCCUCAUCACAAGGCAACAGGGUCUAUACUUAUACUAUAUCACCUACAACCACCUCAUCACCUACAAACACAUCAUUACCACAAUUACCACACACGAAUCCAGUUCUAAUCUCAUUUAAUCCUACUGUAGUAUUGAAAAUUAAUUGAUAAGGAAAGGAUACAAUUUGUAAUAUUUUUAACAAUAGGUAUAAGUAUAAAUUAGGUAGGUACUGUAAUUUGUUUUACAAAUAACUACCUACCUAUAAAUUAUGUAAUAAAAUUAUAACAACUUUGUUGACUAUUCACUGGUAAAAAAUAAAACAAUAAUAAAGCCGAUGAUCUCUUUCUUUCGGUUUACCAUACAUUUA